UACGUAGGUGGCAAGCGUUGUCCGGAUUUACUGGGCGUAAAGAGCGCGCAGGCGGUCGGAUAAGUCGAAUGUGAAAGCCCCCGGCUCAACUGGGGAGGGUCAUUCGAUACUGUUCGACUCGAAGGCAGGAGAGGGAAGUGGAAUUCCCGGUGUAGUGGUGAAAUGCGUAGAUAUCGGGAGGAACACCAGUGGCGAAGGCAGCCCCUGGGCUAACACUGACGCUCAGGCACGAAAGCGUGGGGAGCAAACAGG
rnacentral:rRNA from 1 species